ensembl:lncRNA
GUGUUGUCCCAAAUCUUUUAUUAUAGCUCCCAGAACAGAAAAACUUCCCACUUCAAAUCUCUGUCAGUACUUCAUGAUCAUUUAGUCAGCACAGUGUCACACCUGCACACUCAACCAUAAUCUGAGGGUUAUGACUCAAAGACAGCAUGUCAUUGAUGAAGAUGGCCACGCCCCCCCUCCCUCUGUCAUCACUGAUACAUUGUUGCAUCGUGUUCAUCAGAAGUGGCCUCUGUUUAGAAACAGAGCUGCCUGUGCGCCACAACCCUCUGAGACAUGAACGUGACCUGUGAUCAAAGCCGAGUACUGAAAACUCAACAGUGUUUCUCUUGUUUGUGCUUCACAGGACAAAGUCAACAAACAGCUUAUGGCUUAGUACAAAGCACCGCAAGCAUCUUCUGGAAAUAAGAAUUCUUCUCAUCUCUCCAAAUUCUUUUUAAAAAAUCUAUUAAAAAAUCUAGAAGUUGUCUCUCAGUAAAGAUUCUACUUUUCAAUGUUAAAAAGGUUCGGUUCACAUUGACUCACAAAGUUUCAGCAAACAGAAAACAUCAGCUAGUGUUACAGGAGAAAGAAAAAUCAGACAUAUUCACACAGCGAGGUUGCAUCCCUAACAAACAGUUACAGUAAGUGAGGACCACACGUAGUGUUUACUGAUUCCUACAGCAUUUUCACUGCCAGUCAUCAUGUAUCAUGAUCCUUGAGUGAAGCAAGGUGAUUUAUGUUUACAGGACAAACAGAAACGAUGUUUGGCUCUACAUCUGGCCUUCAAAAUAAGAUAGUAGUGCUCUUAUUUGACAUUAUUGUUUGUGUGUGACAGGGUGGCGUUAAGCCUCUACAGAGAGGCUGGAUUUCCACAGGAAUGAGCCACUGUUAAACGUGAAGUGGGGGGGGGGGGUGUCACUGUCCGUGCUGCCCUCACAGUUCAACAAGCUGAGGUCACAACUUCAGUUCAGUUGUGCAAACAGAAGAUCCAGCUCGGAGUCUACAGGAUACAGUCUGAUGUAGUGAGAUAACAAAAUGAAACUAAACUACAGCUCACACAACAAGAAGGAUUAGCAAAGAUCUCUCAGCACAUAACAACGCAUUACUCACAAACACACACAGUUCAUGUGCUAGUGUAUGGCUCAUCCUGGAGUCGACACUGAGUGGUAAAUUCACCUGAUGCUAAGGAGGAGGAGGAAGGAGGUGGGUGACACGCGUCACACCUUUGCAUAGAGUCCUCUCUACACUGAGCAGCAGCUUCUGCUCUGAGUGGGGAUUUGAUUUGGUUGCUCCAACACUUUAAAGUGUGAAGCUUCUUAAUGUGCAGCUAGCGUGCAGCUCCAGCGAAGAUUUGGACCUCUUUUUGCUGAGAGGUACAAGACUGUGCGAGUGCACCACACACUCGUACGUCACAGGGAGUGGACAUGUGCCCCAAACACACUGAAGCUAAAACACCCUGAAGGAAACAGGAAAACAAAAGAAUGAGCCAAAACCUGAAAGGAAACACAACAAGGGCAAAGGAAGCAUAUUAGUGAACAUCUCACACUUUGACACUAAAAGGGAAAUUUAAAGGGAGGGAUGAAAAUGGGGGGAGAGGGGCGAUUGUUGCCAUGACAACUCAAUCAUUUCUCUGGAGAGGGGCAUCAUCAUCUGAGCUCAGAUGGUGCUGAUGCAAUGUCAGUGGGUCCCUGCUCCAUCACAGCGGUGACCUCCGUGGCCUACGUUUCUGUGGAAGCAAGAGCAGAGAGACGAUUGGUCAGUGUUCACAGGUGACCUGUCCUCACGCUGGAUUCCACCAAAGUACGCCCUGAAUCAC